AUUGAACGCUGGCGGCAGGCCUAACACAUGCAAGUCGAGCGAGCGGCGGACGGGUGAGUAAUGUCUGGGAAACUGCCUGAUGGAGGGGGAUAACUACUGGAAACGGUAGCUAAUACCGCAUACCAUCCGAUGUACCCAGAUGGGAUUAGCUAGUAGGUGGGGUAAUGGCUCCCCUAGGCGACGAUCCCUAGCUGGUCUGCGAGGAGGACCAGCCACACUGGAACGGAGACACGGUCCAGAUGCCUACGGGAGGCAGCAGUGGGGAAUAUUGCACAAGGGGCGCAAGCCUGAUGCAGCCAUGCCGCGUGUAUGAAGAAGGCCUUCGGGUUGUAAAGUACUUUCAGCGGGGAGGCGUUACCCGCAGAAGAAGCACCGGCUAACUCCGUGCCAGCAGCCGCGGUAAUAC
rnacentral:rRNA from 1 species